rnacentral:lncRNA from 1 species
AUUCUAUUAUCCAACAUGGUACAUAUACCCGAAUUUUCUGUCGAAGUCAUUAAGUUUCUAAAGAAAGCAAAGAUGAGAAGAUAGUUUAUACUUACGCUUUCAGUUUUUUUUGUUUUUUUGCAUACCCAUUUGGCAACCUUGUCCCUCUUCAGCUUACUCUGCAGAUAAUGGCCGGUUCUCUGUUAUAUAAAUCUCCCAGCCCAGGCUUUGCAUUUUCAUUAGGAAUAGUUUUGAAAUUUUAGGAAUUAAUUUCUUUUGGGUAAUGCUUAGCUUCAGCUGUGAAUUAUGUCUAUGCACGAGUUGUAAACUGUGCUCUGGAGUUACACGUCUCUGCUGGAAGGAAAUGGCAGCUCUCUGCUCUGCACAGGAAAGGUUCAGAAAUGAAAGAUACACACAUCCGGGAUGAAAUCAAAAGUCAGUUUUAAGGUAUAAAUUCCAUAAGCCAUGUAAAUAAAUUUAAUUUUUGCCAAAACUGUGUUUUUACACAAAUUCAUUGAAAUAGAGUCCUCUUUGAAUGUUAGGCAGAAUUUACAGCAGUGGUGGAUUAUUAGAACAACAUGGUGUAACAUCUUGAUAAAAUUAAAAAUUUCGCCGUUAGCCUCAUAUUCCUAGAGAAAAAUGCUCAUGCACCACAAGCAGGCUGCAACUGGUAGGAAAUUGCAGUGCUACAGCAUAGAGAAGCAAGCUAUUUUUUUAAUAUAUUAAUCUGACAGAAAAUUCGAGCCAGUCAUUUUAUGAAGAUUUAGACAUGGGCAGUCGUUGAAUUUUACCAAAUAAUGUUCCCUCCUAUUUAUAUUUUAUUUCUCAUAGUAACUGAGCACAUCACCGUGUUUUCUCCUUUUUAAGGAGAAAGUAAACUUGUCUUUUUAGUUUCAUGAAAAAACAGGCAUUUCUGAUCGCUUCCAUUUAGUUACAAUUUGUAAAGGCCAUACUGCAAUUCAAACGAGGGGACGGUCUUUUGUUGUGUGUCUGCGAGCUGAUGGGACUGGCUUUUCUUCUCAUUGUCGUAGUUUGAAAUUGAAACACGGCAUUGCUGAGAAAAUGCCAUGAAAAUAUAACCCACUACAUUCCAGGAAAAUAAAUAAGCAAGGCCACCCAAAUUUUCAAUUAGUGCUCGCGCAGAACGCAGGAAAUGGCAAGAGAUCCGUGCGCGGCGCCCCAGGCCGGGUCGGGACCCGAAGCAGUGACAGGAAGGCUGGAAGGGGACGCCGGCACCGUGUGAAGAUGGCCCAUCUCCAAGGAAAAUGCGCGCUCACAGGCUGGCGCCGACUUCCUGAAGCAGACGGGGGAGUCUUGCAUCCUCGCCACGCGCGCUGCUCGGCUUCAAGAGCUGCAUGUUUAAUGGCGAAGUAACGCUGGAAAGCACUAGUGGCGUUACAUAUUCUACAUCAUAAGCUCACUAAACAUUCUCGUUGUCCCCCACGGACACAGUUUUAGCCACUGGAGCCAGCAAUAUUCUGGACAGUUGGGGAAAAUGAUAAAUUGCUUUUGAUUUAAAGCGUCAGGCCUAAGGAUCGAUUGUUCCCACUUGGUGGCACUGCUUGUUAGUGGUAUCAGCCAGCGGGGAAGCCACUGGUGUGGAGGCGAAGAAGGGGCUUGGCGUCCUCCCUCCCCAAAGGGAAAGCCAGUCCUCCUCUCCCAAGUCAGCAAGAGAGGAGUGAAAUCACUGGGGAGCUCCCAUGGACUCCAGUUGUUAAACCGAGGAGGAGCGCUGGCAGGGGACCCCGCCGGGCUGCACGUGGAGCGCAGGACGAGAGCGGGGGAGCAGAAGACAGAGACGCAUCCUCCAGCUGAAGAGGAAGAUGUCUGCAUUUUUCCAAAUAAAAGUUGUUUCUUCAGCCUAGGUCCUGGGAGGAAGCAUGGAUGGAGCAGAACCACAGCCAAGAUGGACGUAACGGGAGUGAGAGAGAAGCCUCUGCUGCGGUGUGCCCUGGGAUUUCAGAGCUGUUUGUUAUUGUCUCAGAACACAGCCUCAGCCACUGAUACAUUACACUGCUGCCAAAGCAGAGAUGGCUUGGCCAGUGGUCACUCAUUCCAUUUUGUACAAUUUAACCUUGAUCCAGGGCAUUAUAUAAUCAUGAUUCUAAUUUUUUUACUAAG